rnacentral:rRNA from 1 species
GACGAACGCUGGCGGCGUGCUUAACACAUGCAAGUCGAACGGAAAGGCCCUGCUUUUGUGGGGUGCUCGAGUGGCGAACGGGUGAGUAACACGUGAGUAACCUGCCCUUGACUUUGGGAGAACUUCAGGAAACUGGGGCUAAUACCGGAUAGGAGCUCCUGCUGCAUGGUGGGGGUUGGAAAGUUUCGGCGGUUGGGAUGGACUCGCGGCUUAUCGGCUUGUUGGUGGGGUAGGGGCUUACCAAGGCUUUGACGGGUAGCCGGCCUGGGAGGGUGACCGGCCACCUUGGGCCUGAGAUACGGCCCAGACUCCUACGGGAGGCAGCAGUGGGGAAUAUUGCACAAUGGGCGGAAGCCUGAUGCAGCAACGCCGCGUGCGGGAUGACGGCCUUCGGGUUGUAAACCGCUUUCGCCUGUGACGAAGCGUGAGUGACGGUAAUGGGUAAAGAAGCACCGGCUAACUACGUG